rnacentral:lncRNA from 1 species
UCCAGAGGAAAUAUUGGACCUGCGCUUAUGGAGCCGGAGAGGUUGAAUAAUAAUAUUGGUGGUGGAGGAGAAGAAGAAGGCAUGUCAUCUGAAUCUGCUACCUCCACCACCUGCAACAGUGCUCCCAGUCUCUCUCUUGAAGAUGACUCCGACGACGUCACUUUAUCUCUCAAACUGGGGUGAGCUAGCUACUUUUGCUUUGCUAUAUUUUGAUAAUUAUAUGUUUUAUAUAUAUAUAUACACACACACAUAUAUGUUCAUCAAAAUUUUACAUUUUUAUUUUUAUUUUUGUUAUUGAAAAUAAUAGAUGGCUUAUUAGAAUUAUCGUGAGCAUUAUUGCGUAUUAUGGUGGUUCAAAUAAAAUUAAAAUUAAAAUUAAAAUUAAGUUGCCCGCAUUGUUCUAUCGAAAAUACAGAAACUUUCGGUUGCAGGAUUUCAACACAAAAGGGGCUAUUGAAAACAUACAGGGAGGAAAUGUAUUCCACUCUCUCUAGACUAAAACAACAUAACCUGCAUAAAGUCAUAUACAAGUUAAAAUAUCUUCACCAACAAAUGUUGAUGUUGAUGGGCAGUUGCAUUCAUGGUAUUUCAAUUACUCUUCACCUUUUUAAUAAAUUUGCUUAUCACUUUUUAUUUUCUCUGAAUUUCAGGCUUCCAUAAUUUCUCUGGUUAAAAAGUGGAGGGUUGUGAUUGUGUGUAAGAUAAAUAAAGAAAAUCGAGAUAUUGUAAGAUAUCAGUGAUUGUGUGUGUCUUAACUCGAUACAAGAUUGAAAAAUAUUGAGGGGAAAGUAACUUGUGUUGUAUCUAAACCUAUGUAUUUUAUGCAACCUGACAUAUUGCUCUUUGACUUGUAUUGUCUUUAGAACUCUGUAUCAAUGCAGCCUGCUUUGGAGACUCUUGUGGACUUUGUAUUUGCUUGGGUUAUCAAUGUAAAUUGGAGCAUGUCUCAUAGAGCUUAUAUAUGAAAUAAUUGUCCAAUUUAAUGAGUUCAAUUUUGUUUUUUAUUUAGCCCAGAAUGUGGGGAAAAAGACAACUCAUUGACUACAAAAAAGAAAUGAUGUAGAACAGAUGACGGAAACAAUCGAAAAUGAGUUGAAGAGACUCACGCGCAAGGAUAAAUCGAACAAACUGCAUAUUUGGGCUCCGAAUUCAAAAUCAGGCCCAUGAUUCGUUGAUUCGAAUAGAACGACGUCAUGAGUAAAGCUUAUUUCUUAGCCAUGUUGUAUGGGCUUUUUCGGGCACCCGAGAUUGUUUAGAAAUUCGAAAUCUAGUUUUAAAGUUUUUACAAUUUUUAGAAACUUUUUUAUUUUUUUAUUUUAAUUCCUUGAUUAAUCCUAAGGUUUCUAGGAGUAUUUAAACAAAUUUUACCUGUGACUAGAGUUAUGUUUUAUUAUUUCAAUUAUCAAAUAAAUCUUGAAAUUUCCUAUAAGGUUGUAUAUGCUUGGCCCAUUGGCCCUUUGAGUAGGGCCUGGGCUUAGUUUAUUGAAGAUAGGGCUGACCCGAUUCUGUCAACUUUAUUUGCGCAUGAAAAAAACACCCAUAUAUAAUCGCAUUGUCUGCGUGGAUUAAAUUCAUACAAAAAAGAGGAGUGGGCUGGAGGAGCAAAGACAAAGCCAAGUGUUGCGACUCGAAUGGUGCAUAACCCGAGCAAAGUAAGCUGACAAGACAGCGCAGGACCUGUUUCAAAGGCCAUCCUCCUCCACAUAAAAAUGAAAUUCCCUUCUUUUUUUCUUUCGCAGCCUGACAAGUACUAAGAAUUAAACCCACUCCAAUAAAAACCAAAAAAAAAAAAAGAAUUAAACCCACUCCAACAGAACCAUUCACAAAAGUAAGUAAGAUGCCACAUUUUCUACUGUCACGAUACAAAAUCAACGGUGGAGAUCGCAUUUAUCAACUUCAAGUGCAUCUGUCACCGUCGAAUUGCUCAGGUUUCGUACCUAGUUUUCCCAAAAGAUACCGGAAGUAUGAAAAAAAACAGAGAAUAAUAGAAAAAGGUAUGUAAUUGUUUGUCCUUAAAAGGGAAAAAUUCAGUUUGAAAUUCAUUUUAAUCCCUUCCUUCGUUAAACAGUCAGCCAGCAGGAGAAGCAGCCAUUUCUCUCUCCCAUUCUCUUAGUUUUUCUGAGAACACCAAAACUUCAGACCCUGAAACCCCCCAAAAAGGUAAACAUUAAACAAAGAGAGGAAAACCCAGAAUUUUAAUUAGUUAAUUAAUGGUUUUUCCUCUUUUUCCUCCUCCUCUUCUUCUUCUUCUUCUUCUUCUUCUUCUUCUUUGUGCUUUGGUACUCUAGGCAUGUUGCUGUGAACUUGUGACCUAUUUUGGUUGGUGGGUUUUUCUGGGUUUUUUUUUUUUCACUUAGAUCUGGGGGCCAUUAAAUGUUUAAAAUUUACAAGAAACCCAGGAAAUGUUGUGUAGUUUUUUAGUGUAUGAACAUAAUAAUGUGAAAAGUGGUUGGUUUGAAUUUUUUUGAAGGGGGGAUGGUGAAGACGAUGAGGAAGAAGAUCAAGAUCAAGAAGAUUGACUACUUGCCUGCAAGGCAGGUGACCUUCUCAAAGAGGAGGAGAGGGAUCUUCAAGAAAGCUGAGGAGCUAUCUGUUCUGUGUGAAUCUGAGGUGGCAGUAGUCAUCUUUUCUGCUACUGGCAAGCUUUUUGAUUAUUCAAGCUCAAGGUACCAGCAACAUACGUUAUAAUUCUUUUGACUUUUCCUUCCUUGAAAAAAUAACCAAUAUGACUUGUCUUCUCUCUGUAUGGGUGAGAGAGGGAGAGAGAGAUUCUAAGAUUCAGUCAUUUGGGUCAAAAUAUAUUUGGAGGAGAAGGGUGCCUUUAUGGAAAUAUUUUUUCUUUCCUGAAAUUCCAUGGUUUGAUAUGAACUCUGGUCUAGAAUGCAAAGAAAGAAAAAAAGGAGAAUCCAAAAGCUUCUAAAAAGGAGAGAGAGAGAGAGAGAGAGAGCGGUAGAUAUUGUUGUACUCUUUGCAAAGGAACUAGUUCAACGUUUACUACAUUAUCUAUGUACUUCAGGAAAGUGAAGUCUACUUUUAAUUAAGACAACGUCUAGGUGGGUGUCCCAAUUUGAGAAAUAUUAUUUUAUUAGGUGUCCCAGUUUGAGAAAUAGUAUUUUAUUAGGAAAUGGAUAAAAUUAAUGGUUUCCUGGUGGGAAACACGGUAUGUUAGACCAUCAAUCAAAUCAUGCACUCAAACAAGAAUGUAGAUAGUCAAUUCUAUCUGCGUAAUCUGACAACAUAAAAUGAAAGAUAGUGAAGAGAGUAUUAUAUGAUUCGAGUAUUAUAUGAUUUGUAGUUUUCUUACUAGGGAUAAAGUGAUGUGAUGAUGACUUUGGGAAUUCAUCAUAGAAGCCUUGAAGACUUUCAGCAGGAAUAUGAUUCCAUGCUCUCAAGUAGUUCUCCCCAAGUAGGGCAAUGGGUGGUGGAGCCAUGAUCAUAACAUGUUUUUGCCAUGAAUGCAUGCAUGAGAGGAAGGAAAAAGAGGGAGGAGGGUGAGAAUGAAAUGUUAACUAUGGAAUAAGAAUUUAAAUAUGGUCACGCUUCCUUUCAGUUAACGAAAUAUAAUUGCACAUAUUCAGCACUGAUCAUUUGUAUUAAAAAAUGUUUUUUAAAAAAAAAAAAAAAAACUAGAAAUAUCACCUCACUAAGGUGGUCUUCUUUAACACAAAAUACACUGCAUAAAAAGGUACUCUCUAUAUGUCGAUGGUUUUUUAAGUUUUCUAUGGUGUGGUUAUGAAUUCCGUUAUUUAGAUGUUUUUAUUUUGAUUUCUUUUGUUAGGAUGAGAGAGUGGGAGUAUUAUAUUGGGUUGCCUCAAGAUUGUCUCCUACGUCACCAUUAGACAUGCGUCUAAUGAAGGAAAGAGAUUAAAAGGAGGCACACAUAUCUCGAACUACAAUUUGAAAAUGCAAAUGCAAAUUAAGAAGAAAAUUAUUAAAAGACAAGGGAAGCAAAACUAUAAGUGGCAAACACAUACUAAUGGCCUGUUUUGAUAAUAAAAAAUGAUUUGAUACAAAUGGAGGUCUCAGUUAAAAAUUACAAAAUGGAAGAGACCAGGGCGAAAUUACCUACAAGGAUAUCCUGGGCUGUAGUCCAGCCUAGGUAGCUUUUUAAAGAUAUUUUUUUUAAACCUGUUGUAGUCCAUGUUUAAAGAAAAACAAAAGUAAACCUAUAUAGCCCAUCCACUUGUCGUUCCCACUUGUGGUUGGGGUCCUCAUUUUGUUGUCUUUUUGACAAUUUUCCCACUAUUUCUAUGAAUAUGGAAAUAUUGUUUUUUCAAAGUCUGUUUUGUGGUCUUCUUGAUAAUUUUCCCAUUGUUAUCAUGUUAACCCUUUUGUUGCAUUUAAUUUGUGACCCCUAUUGGUAGUAUAAUUGGAUCAGGUCGGAGCAUUGGCCUCAAGUACAUAUCCAAGAGUAUCUUAAUUGGUUAGAGUCUACCAUUUACUCCCUCAUGCAAGGUUUUGGGUUCGAGUCCUAGCAUUCGUGUAGUGUGUGUGAGUUUCGUAUGCUAUCGCCCCUCUCAAUAGGAAAAGUUCUCAAAAAAAAAAAAGUUUUAUUCAUAUUUUUAUUUUUGAAACUCUAAGGGCUUGGUUAGCAAGGCCAUGAUAACACAACAUAUAGCAUAUGUUGUCUAUUCUUAAUCAUAGCAAAUUGUAUAUACUAACAUUCUUAAGAACCUUAGCCACUUCCACUAACAAGAUUCAAAGCAUAUUGCAAUGAGGCCCACUUCUUAUUAUUUGACUUGAUAUGGUCUCAGGUCGGUUUGCCUUGUGUUCUAAAAUAUUUCAGCUGCUUGGUCUUAUAUAUAAUAAUUCUAUAAAAUAGAUAUUAAGGAAUUCAAUCAAAAGCAAGAUGUCGUGCCAUGCUUUAUGGCUUAGCGCUGAAGUUUUGUCAGUGAGAGAAGGUAGAGAAUUUUAGUAAUUUUAUUGAAAUACUCCUUAAAAUUGGUCUCUUCUUGAAAUAGUGAUUUUAUUUUAAUAGAAACGAUAGUCUAAAUUAGUCUAAAUUAAUCUAAUUUAUGGGGAGGGGGGUUCGAACUUGGGUGCAAGGUGGGUGGGCUCAGCUCACUGUCCUGGCCAACCAUCCUAACCAACGUCAGCUGAAAUAGUGUUUUUUUUAAAAAGGAAGCAUAACAUACAAUAGUCUAUACAAAAGAAAAUAAACAUUUGUGUUGGCAAACCAUAAAACAUGUAUGCUUCGUCACAUGUGUCAAUUUGAUCUUCUAUGUCUACUAACUUAAACUUGUGAAAAUGCCAAUUGGUUGUUUAUUCCUUUUGUGUUGUGAAGUACAAAGGAUGUUGUUGAAAGGUAUCAAGCGCACACAAAUGGUGUCGAAAAAUCGGACGAACCGUCUGUUGAGCUGCAGGUAAAUGAGUUCAAUGGUUUACCUUUUCCAUUUCCCCCCUUUAAUUUUUCUGCAAUUAAUUGUAACAUAUUCUGUGAAAUGCACUUUGGAGCUUCAAAAUGUGGCUCUAUAUCAUCUGAGGUUCUGAUUGUAAAACCUUUUGGUUUGAAAAAGUGAAAAAGGGAAAUUUAACAAGUAUGUCCUACGUCACAUCACAUGUUGUGCGUCUCUCUCAGUGUUGCUGAGAUCCAAACCUUGAAACUUGUUUAAUCUCUCCACAAAGGGUGCCCCAAACCUCUAGGCGGUGACAAACUCUCACUUUGUUGGUUGCAUUUGAGGCUUAUGUUCUUGUAUGUUUAAGUAAUUAAUUUGAUUCCAUUUUCAAAAAUAAAAAAAUAAAAAAAUAAAUUGUAAUCCACUUUUUAUAAGCUUUUCAUGUGAUAGACAGAUUAGAUUACCUAAAUGAUGGUUCCAUUUCUCAUUUUAGCUAGAAAUUGAAAACCACAUCAGAUUGACCAAGGAACUGGAGGAGAAGAGCCGCCAGCUGAGGUAAUAAUUUGUAAGGUAUAUGUGGCUGUUUAGCUGGUAUUAUAUCGUUUGAUGUAUCUGCUGAAAUUGGAGUGGCUUGCAACAGGCAGAUAAAAGGGGAGGAUCUUGAAGAGCUGAAUUUUGAUGAGUUGCAGAAGUUAGAACAACUGGUGGACGCAAGCCUUGGCCGUGUGAUUGAAACUGAGGUCUGCGCUAGCUAAUUUCUUUUCUAGUAAGCAUGGUGCGAAGGCAUUAAUUACUCUGUAUUGUGGUUUAAUGAUCGAUCGAAUCCGUUGGAGAAAGUUAGUUAAUUGGUUUAAGACAUUGAAUUUGUGUUCCAAUAAAUAAACAACACAAGGUCCUAAACAAACACUGAAAUCAUUACCAUUUAAUGAAAUGGUCAAAUAUAGUCUCUGAUAUUGUUUUUUUUUCUUCUUUCUCUCGAUGAUUCCUGAAUGAAAACCUAAAUAAUGAAGCGUUGGAACAAUAUAAAGUAUGUCCCACAAUUGUCCUUUGUGCAAACAGGGUAUAUAAUUGUUCUUUUUAUUGAAAAGCAUAGGUGUAUUCUGGGUUGUCACUGAGGUUUUGAGUUGCUAUUUUAGCAGCUGGUUUAUUCUCUGAAAACUAUAGGUGCAUGCAGUUUGGGUUACAUAUAUGCAAAUAAGCUAUAAGAUGUAAAUGCAAAUAUUCCAUUCCUUUUCAGGAAGAACUGAUUAUGAGUGAGAUUAUGGCACUUGAAAGAAAGGUUAGACGAUUGAUAUACAUACUCUGUAAAUGAAAACAAAUUUCAACUAUUUACAAUAAUCAGGACUUUAACAUCAAUAAUCAUAACCAAGUUUGGCUCUUGUUUUCUCUUCCAUUCACUGACAUUAAUUUCAGGGAGCUGAGCUGGUAGAAGCCAACAACCAGCUACGGCAGAGGGUAAGCAACUGCCACAAUCAUGUACAUGUUUCUUCUUUCUUCUUUCUUUUCUUUUUAUUUUGUAUUUUUUGCAUAGCAGAUGGUGAUGUUAUCCAGAGGAAAUAUUGGACCUGCGCCUACGGAGCCGGAGAGGUUCGUUAAUAAUAUUGGAGGUGGAGGAGAAGAAGGCAUGUCAUCUGAAUCUGCCACAAAUGCAACCAUCAGCAGCUGCAGCAGUGGUCCCAGUCUCUCUCUUGAAGAUGACUGCUCCGACGUCACUUUAGCUCUCAAACUGGGGUGAGCUAGCUACUUUUG